AUUGAACGCUGGCGGAAUGCUUUACACAUGCAAGUCGAACGGUAGAGGGGGCAACCCCUCGAGAGUGGCGAACGGGUGAGUAAUAUAUCUGAACGUGCCCAGUCGUGGGGGAUAACGUAGCGAAAGUUACGCUAAUACCGCAUACGAUCUACGGAUGAAAGCGGGGGACCGUAAGGCCUCGCGCGAUUGGAACGGCCGAUAUCAGAUUAGGUAGUUGGUGGGGUAAAGGCUCACCAAGCCAACGAUCUGUAGCUGGUCUGAGAGGACGACCGGCCACACUGGAACUGAGACACGGUCCAGACUCCUACGGGAGGCAGCAGUGGGGAAUUUUGGACAAUGGACGCAAGUCUGAUCCAACCAUUCCGCGUGCAGGAUGAAGGCCCUCGGGUUGUAAACUGCUUUUGUACGGAACGAAAAGGUUUCCAUUAAUACUGGGAGCUCAUGACGGUACCGUAAGAAUAAGCACCGGCUAACUACGUGCCAGCCGCCGCGGUAA
rnacentral:rRNA from 1 species